GACGGUUCUCAGGUGAUGCACCUCGGAAUCAGGCUCCCUCCUCUCUGGUUCUGGGUGUGUCACCUGAGAAGCA
rfam:Myotis lucifugus cont2.14503, whole genome shotgun sequence.